GGGAAGUGAGUGAUGAGCUUGCUAUGAUUUCAUUUGAGUGAGUGGCGAACUGGUGAGUAACACGUGGGAAACCUGCCCAGAAGCGGGGGAUAACACCUGGAAACAGAUGCUAAUACCGCAUAACAACUUGGACCGCAUGGUCCGAGCUUGAAAGAUGGCUUCGGCUAUCACUUUUGGAUGGUCCCGCGGCGUAUUAGCUAGAUGGUGGGGUAACGGCUCACCAUGGCAAUGAUACGUAGCCGACCUGAGAGGGUAAUCGGCCACAUUGGGACUGAGACACGGCCCAAACUCCUACGGGAGGCAGCAGUAGGGAAUCUUCCACAAUGGACGAAAGUCUGAUGGAGCAACGCCGCGUGAGUGAAGAAGGGUUUCGGCUCGUAAAACUCUGUUGUUAAAGAAGAACAUAUCUGAGAGUAACUGUUCAGGUAUUGACGGUAUUUAACCAGAAAGCCACGGCUAACUACGUGCCAGCAGCCGCGGUAAUACGUAGGUGGCAAGCGUUGUCCGGAUUUAUUGGGCGUAAAGCGAGCGCAGGCGGUUUUUUAAGUCUGAUGUGAAAGCCUUCGGCUCAACCGAAGAAGUGCAUCGGAAACUGGGAAACUUGAGUGCAGAAGAGGACAGUGGAACUCCAUGUGUAGCGUGAAGGCCCUUAGAUAAAA
rnacentral:rRNA from 1 species